rnacentral:rRNA from 1 species
UAGGGAAUCUUCGGCAAUGGACGAAAGUCUGACCGAGCAACGCCGCGUGAGUGAAGAAGGUUUUCGGAUCGUAAAACUCUGUUGUUAGAGAAGAACAAGGACGUUAGUAACUGAACGUCCCCUGACGGUAUCUAACCAGAAAGCCACGGCUAACUACGUGCCAGCAGCCGCGGUAAUACGUAGGUGGCAAGCGUUGUCCGGAUUUAUUGGGCGUAAAGCGGGCGCAGGCGGUUUCUUAAGUCUGAUGUGAAAGCCCCCGGCUCAACCGGGGAGGGUCAUUGGAAACUGGGAGACUUGAGUGCAGAAGAGGAGAGUGGAAUUCCAUGUGUAGCAGUGAAAUGCGUAGAUAUAUGGAGGAACACCAGUGGCGAAGGCGGCUCUCUGGUCUGUAACUGACGCUGAGGCUCGAAAGCGUGGGGAGCAAACAGG